UAGGGAAUAUUAGUAAUGGGCGAAAGCCUGAACUAGCAACGCCGCGUGUGCGAAGAAGGCCUUCGGGUUGUAAAGCACUUUUUGAGAGGAUGAGGAAGGACGGUACUCUCAGAAUAAGUCUCGGCUAACUACGUGCCAGCAGCCGCGGUAACACGUAGGAGGCGAACGUUAUCCGGAUUUACUGGGCGUAAAGCGCGUGUAGGUGGUUUGGUAAGUAGGGCGUGAAAGCUCCUGGCUCAACUGGGAGAGGCCGUUCUAAACUGCCGAACUAGAGGAUGGUAGGGGGAGGUGGAAUUCCGGGGGUAGCGGUGGAAUGCGCAGAUAUCCGGAGGAACACCAGUGGCGAAAGCGGCCUCCUGGACCACUCCUGACACUCAGACGCGAAAGCUAGGGUAGCAAACGG
rnacentral:rRNA from 1 species